UACGAACCGUGCAAACGUUAUUCGGAAUCACUGGGCUUAAAGGGUGCGUAGGCGGCCAUGUAAGUGAGGUGUGAAAUCCCUCGGCUCAACCGAGGAACUGCGCUUCAUACUGCAUGGCUUGAGGGAGACAGGGGUAAGCGGAACUGAUGGUGGAGCGGUGAAAUGCGUUGAUAUCAUCAGGAACACCGGUGGCGAAAGCGGAUUACUGGGUCUCUUCUGACGCUGAGGUACGAAAGCUAGGGUAGCGAACGGG
rnacentral:rRNA from 1 species